AACAUUCUCGAAACAGCCAAUGAUCCACGAUCAAUUUUCUUUGCCCACGAUCUUAUUCUUUUCAGUUUUUAUUAUUCCUAUAUAUUUCAGAUUCAAUUCAAUUGGUAAAUAUCAGAAAAACUCCAAAUCAAUCACAACAGAGAUAUUCUUCAUCUUCGAUUUCAAAACCCUUAUUCAAAACCAAAGCAGAGUUCUUUGACCAAAAAAAACCAAAGCAGAGUUCUAUUUCUGAGUAGUCUGUUCUCAUCUAUCCCGUUGAGGCUAUCUUACUAUGUACAGUUUCACCAGCUUCGGCAGAGAACAUAUUGCUUCAUCUGAACCGGUUGAGGGCCAAGAAGGUUUGAGAAAAAGUGGAUCUGAAUUAUAUGAAUUGGUAGGAAUUCAUCAUAAUAAAAAUGCUUCACUGUAAGAUCCACCAGAAAGAGAGGAGGAAGAAGAAAAAAUCAGACGCUGGCGUGUUAAAAUCAACAGAAAAGCUUUUCGAUAAAAGAAACUAGAGAAGCAUGAAGUGUCAAAGAUGACAAAUGGCGCUGCCGCGCUGCCAUGGAGACAGUUAAUAAAUUUUAAAACAAAAUUAACAGAGAUGUUUCAAGUG